GAUGAAGAACGUAGCGAAAUGCGAUAAGUAAUGUGAAUUGCAGAAUUCAGUGAAUCAUCGAAUCUUUGAACGCACAUUGCGCCCGCCAGUAUUCUGGCGGGCAUGCCUGUUCGAGCGUCAUUUCAACCCUCAAGCUCAGCUUGGUGUUGGGACUCGCGGUAACCCGCGUUCCCCAAAUCGAUUGGCGGUCACGUCGAGCUUCCAUAGCGUAGUAAUCAUACACCUCGUUACUGGUAAUCGUCGCGGCCACGCCGUAAAACCCCCACUUCUGAAUGUUGACCUCGGAUCAGGUAGGAAUACCCGCUGAACUUAAGCAUAUCAAUAAGCGGAGGA
rnacentral:misc_RNA from 1 species